rnacentral:piRNA from 1 species
UGAGAUGCCUCUUUGCCUAAGAAAUGCACA